AGCGGCGGACGGGUGAGUAACACGUGGGUAACCUGCCCAAGAGACUGGGAUAACACCUGGAAACAGAUGCUAAUACCGGAUAACAACACUAGACGCAUGUCUAGAGUUUGAAAGAUGGUUCUGCUAUCACUCUUGGAUGGACCUGCGGUGCAUUAGCUAGUUGGUAAGGUAACGGCUUACCAAGGCAAUGAUGCAUAGCCGAGUUGAGAGACUGAUCGGCCACAUUGGGACUGAGACACGGCCCAAACUCCUACGGGAGGCAGCAGUAGGGAAUCUUCCACAAUGGACGAAAGUCUGAUGGAGCAACGCCGCGUGAGUGAAGAAGGGUUUCGGCUCGUAAAGCUCUGUUGGUAGUGAAGAAAGAUAGAGGUAGUAACUGGCCUUUAUUUGACGGUAAUUACUUAGAAAGUCACGGCUAACUACGUGCCAGCAGCCGCGGUAAUACGUAGGUGGCAAGCGUUGUCCGGAUUUAUUGGGCGUAAAGCGAGUGCAGGCGGUUCAAUAAGUCUGAUGUGAAAGCCUUCGGCUCAACCGGAGAAUUGCAUCAGAAACUGUUGAACUUGAGUGCAGAAGAGGAGAGUGGAACUCCAUGUGUAGCGGUGGAAUGCGUAGAUAUAUGGAAGAACACCAGUGGCGAAGGCGGCUCUCUGGUCUGCAACUGACGCUGAGGCUCGAAAGCAUGGGUAGCGAACAGGAUUAGAUACCCUGGUAGUCCGUGCCGUAACGAUGAGUGCUAAGUGU
rnacentral:rRNA from 1 species